rnacentral:rRNA from 1 species
CCUACGGGAGGCAGCAGUGAGGAAUAUUGGUCAAUGGCCGUAAGGCUGAACCAGCCAAGUAGCGUGAGGGAAGACUGCCCUAUGGGUUGUAAACCUCUUUUAUGCGGGGAUAAAGGGGUCCACGUGUGGAUGUUUGCAGGUACCGCAUGAAUAAGGACAGGCUAAUUCCGUGCCAGCAGCCGCGGUAAUACGGAAGGUCCGGGCGUUAUCCGGAUUUAUUGGGUUUAAAGGGAGCGUAGGCCGGUCUUUAAGCGUGCCGUGAAAUUUUGUGGCUCAACCAGGAGAGUGCGGCGCGAGCUGGUGACCUUGAGUGCGCGGCCGGCCGGCGGCUUUCGUGGUGUAGCCG